rnacentral:tmRNA from 1 species
UGAUUUGAUUUCUUAACAAAUAGCGCCUAUAUUAAAAGGGUCGGGGGCAACUCCGUCUAAGAUGCUAAACGCUUCUCAGAAUAGACAUAGUGGACCCGGGGGCAGUACCCGGCGGCUCCACCACCAGCAGAGCUUUAAAACUCUUCUGCUGAUGGGGCCGAAACAGGAUCGACACGUGUAAUAAAGGUUUAGUCUGUAUCCGUAUGAGGCACGGUCGUUAUCCGUCCACGCAUGUAAAUGCAAACGAUAACACAGUAGUAGCAAACGACAACUUCGCAGUUGCCGUUAAAGCUGCCGCUUAAUUGCGCCAGUGAGCUACAAAUCCGGAAUAGCUACGGCUUAACGUGAGGUGCGGGGCGACCUAUCAACAGAACUGCCCCAUU